GUCAUAUGCUUGUCUCAAAGAUUAAGCCAUGCAUGUCUCAGUACAAGCCAAAUUAAGGUGAAACCGCGAAAGGCUCAUUAAAUCAGUUAUGGUUCCUUAGAUCGUACCCACAAUUACUUGGAUAACUGUGGUAAUUCUAGAGCUAAUACAUGCAAACAGAGCUCCGACCGGAGACGGAAGGAGUGCUUUUAUUAGAUCAAAACCAAUCGGUGUCGAGUUCGCUCGUCAUCGUACAACUUGGUGACUCUGAAUAACUUUACGCUGAUCGCACGGUCAUCGCACCGGCGACGCAUCUUUCAAAUGUCUGCCUUAUCAACUGUCGAUGGUAGGUUCUGCGCCUACCAUGGUUGUAACGGGUAACGGGGAAUCAGGGUUCGAUUCCGGAGAGGGAGCCUGAGAAACGGCUACCACAUCCAAGGAAGGCAGCAGGCGCGCAAAUUACCCACUCCCGGCACGGGGAGGUAGUGACGAAAAAUAACGAUACGGGACUCAUCCGAGGCCCCGUAAUCGGAAUGAGUACACUCUAAACCCUUUAACGAGGAUCAAUUGGAGGGCAAGUCUGGUGCCAGCAGCCGCGG
rnacentral:rRNA from 1 species